rnacentral:rRNA from 1 species
UGCCUCAAAUCAGGAGGACUGCNGCUGAACUUAAGCAUAUCAAUAAGCGGAGAC